rnacentral:rRNA from 1 species
GUCCUAGCCCUAAACGGUGCGUGUUUGCUGUAGGAGGAAUCGACCCCUUCUGUGGCGAAGCUAACGCGUUAAACACGCCGCCUGGGGAGUACGGUCGCAAGAUUAAAACUCAAAGAAAUUGACGGGGGCCUGCACAAGCGGUGGAGUAUGUGGCUUAAUUCGAUGCAACGCGAAGAACCUUACCUGGCCUUGACAUGCAUUUGGUAGAACCAUGAAAGUGGGACGACCCCGCAAGGGGAGGAUGCACAGGUGCUGCAUGGCUGUCGU